rnacentral:tRNA from 2 species
GCGGGUGUAGCUCAAUGGUAGAGCGUCGGCCUUCCAAGCCGAAUACGUGGGUUCGAUUCCCAUCACCCGCUCCA